GCCAACGUGCCCGAGCGGUAAAGGGAACGGUCUUGAAAAUCGUCUGUCAGAAAUGGCUUGUGGGUUCAAAUCCUACCGUUGGCG
rnacentral:tRNA from 3 species